GGCAGGGCCUCCUUCUACUAUCACACACACCAUUGGCACUCUUUGGUUAAAUCCUGUGGAGCGCAAAUAGUGAAACAUUGUUGCCACAAAGUAGUGAAUCCUGAUGCGGAAUACAUUUCGACUGUGGGAUGUAAAGUGGCAGAAUAUCUAGCCAGCUAUUUUUUAUAAUGCUUACCCUCCCUCGAAUGGCGGAUAAACUGGAGCCUAUCUCAAUUGAAUUGUGGGAGUGUCUCCAGGCAAACACAGUGCACUUAUAGACAUAGAACCAGUCACACUUGUUCAACAUUCAAACUUAGAACGGUGAAGUGGCUUCAAUUAACAAUGUUUUUGGAAUCAGGAAGGAGGCCAGAGAACACGGAGAAAGUCCACGUAAACACAGGCAGAACAUGCACACUGCACACAGAAGGGCCAGAGCUUAGAUUCAAACCCCCAACUUGACAGCUGUGAGACAGAGUGCUCAGCACUUGCUCACCACGCUGCCGUUUGGUUCUUGUUUUGGUUCUAACAAACAGCGUCAAACAACAUUUAUUUUGCUUUUUGGUAUUUGAAAAAAAAACAAACAAACAAAAAAAAACACUAACUCACGAGGGUGGAUCUUCAGCAGUUGAAUGUGUUUCUCCAGCUUCUUCCUGAAUCCUUCUUGACAACCAUAUUUUCCUAAAGUUCCAUCAUCCACCAGUAGAAAGUGGGAGUGGAAACUGUUCAGAUCGGCUCUCUUGCUCAAAGGGUUCCCCAGUGGCUGGUAAGGCCUGAAAACCUGAUGAAUGAAGAGGAGGGGAAGAGGAAGGUUGUGGCCACCAAAGGUUUUCACUGCCUCACCCACAUACUUGGACACACCUGGACAAGAUGGCAGGAACGGUUGACUGCGCAGCAAAGAUACCAUUCAAAAUGUACUCAGUAUGUAAUUUAACCGAGCCAAUACGUUUGAUUGAAACAAUUCAUCAUUUAUGCAUGGUUAUUGUGAUUCUACAGUAAGACUAUAGAAAUGUACAUAUUUACACAAAUAUAGCAAAUGUUGUUACAACAAAUAACGUAUUAAUUUAGUACAUUAAA